rnacentral:rRNA from 1 species
AUUGAACGCUGGCGGCAUGCCUUACACAUGCAAGUCGAACGGCAGCACAGGUGCUUGCACCUGGUGGCGAGUGGCGAACGGGUGAGUAACAUAUCGGAACGUACCUUAUCGUGGGGGAUAACGCAGCGAAAGCUGUGCUGAUACCGCAUAAGCCCUAGGGGGGAAAGCAGGGGACCGUAAGGCCGUGCGCGAUUAGAGCGGCCGAUACCUGAUUAGCUAGUUGGUGAGGUAAAGGCUCACCAAGGCAACGGUCAGUAGCUGGUCUGAGAGGACGAUCAGCCACACUGGGACUGAGACACGGCCCAGACUCCUACGGGAGGCAGCAGUGGGGAAUUUUGGACAAUGGGGGCAACCCUGAUCCAGCAAUGCCGCGUGAGUGAAGAAGGCCUUCGGGUUGUAAAGCUCUUUUGUCAGGGAAGAAACAGCAGCUCUAAUACAGUAUGCGAAUGACGGUACCUGAAGAAUAAGCACCGGCUAACUACGUGCCAGCCGCCGCCGUAAAAC